AUUCCCGCGUAUGUACUUGUUAAGCCUUUAAGAAAGAAGUUUAUAACUUAAGGAAUUAUAACAAAGAAGUAACACAUAAUAAGGUUGCCUUAUUUAGUGUGUAUCAAUCGAGUUUCUGACCUAUCAGCUUUUGAUGUUAGGGUAUUGGCCUAACAUGGCUAUGACGGGUAACGGGGAAUUAGAGUUCGAUUCCGGAGAGGGAGCCUGAGAAAUAGCUACCACAUCUAAGGAAGGCAGCAGGCGCGUAAAUUACCCAAUUCUAAAGAAGAGAGGUAGUGACAAGAAAUAACAAUACAAGGCCAUUUCAUGGUUUUGUAAUUGGAAUGAUGGGAAUUUAAAACCUUCCCAAAAUUCAAUUGGAGGGCAAGUCUGGUGCCAGCAGCCGCGGUAAUUCCAGCUCCAAUAGCGUAUAUUAAAAUUGUUGCAGUUAAAACGCUCGUAGUUGAAUUUCAAAGAAUCAAUAUUUUAAGUAAUACUUUUGCUAUAAGAUGCUUAGACAAUACAACGUAUCUGUUCUUUGCAUUCCUUAUGCAAAAUGUGUUCUUAUUAUAAAAAGGAUUCUUUUUAAAAUCUCUUUUGCUAUUUUUUAGUAUUGGAGAUUUUGUUACUUUGAGUAAAUUAGAGUGUUCAAAGCAAACAGUUAAAGCAUUUUUACUGCGUUUGAAUACUACAGCAUGGAAUAACAAAAUUGAACAAGUCAGAAUUCUGUUCUUUUUUCUUAUUUUGGCU
rnacentral:rRNA from 1 species